UACAGAGGGUGCAAGCGUUAAUCGGAAUUACUGGGCGUAAAGCGUGCGCAGUCGGUUAUUUAAGUCGGGCGUGAAAGCCCCGGGCUCAACCUGGGAAUUGCGUUCGAUACUGGAUAGCUAGAGUUCGGCAGAGGGAAGCGGAAUUUCGGGUGUAGCGGUGAAAUGCGUAGAUAUCCGAAGGAACAUCAGUGGCGAAAGCGGCUUCCUGGACCAGAGCUGACGAUCAGGCACGAAAGCGUGGGGAGCAAACAGG
rnacentral:rRNA from 1 species